UACGUAGGGGGCGAGCGUUGUCCGGAGUUACUGGGCGUAAAGGGUGCGUAGGCGGGUUUUUAAGUCAGGGGUGAAAUCCUGGAGCUCAACUCCAGAACUGCCUUCGAUACUGGCGAUCUCGAGUUCGGGAGAGGUGAGUGGAACUGCGAGUGUAGAGGUGAAAUCCGUAGAUAUUCGCAAGAACACCAGUGGCGAAGGCGGCUCACUGGCCCGAUACUGACGCUGAGGUGCGAAAGCGUGGGGAGCAAACAGG
rnacentral:rRNA from 1 species